GAACAAUUAAUGUUGAAUAUCCAUCUGUAUAACCAAAAAGAUCAAAAGUUUCUCCUCAUCUCCAAAUCACCCUUCAGCAUCAGCGCCAUGUGAUCUGUGAUCCUCUACUGGAUAACUGCAAAAGGAAUACAUCAUAGUUCAGGUUGGCGUAAACAAGCUUUCAACCAAUGGCACUGCUUCCAUUCUUGGCCCUCUUCCAUUGUAAGCACCUUGAUGAACCCACUUGUCAAGACCCAAAGCAUGUAGCUUGGAGUGGUCAGACAUAUCAUAUAGAGUAACUUUCCUGCCAUUGUGAAGUAGAACCAUGAGAUUCCCUAGCUGAUAUAGAGGCUGGAGGCGAGAAGACAUAUGAUUUCUACGCAUGCAGUCAAUGUCGAGCAACAACUCCAAAGCUGCAAUAUUCAGACUGGAGGUCGUCUGGCAGGUUUAUGCAGCCAAGCGUUUCAGAUGACACAUCAAAGCUUACCAAGGAGUUUUGGUGACCCUGUGGU